CAGGGAGACAACAAAAUGUUUAAUAUUAUUAUUUUGUCACCUUAGGUCGAUCGGUAUCUCACAUUCUUAAUUUAUUAAGGAUUUCAUUUCCUAAGUUUUUCUAGGUCACACCCAUUAUUUUUCCUGGGCCAUUAGCUCAGGUGGUUAGAGCGCACCCCUGAUAAGGGUGAGGUCCCUGGUUCAAGUCCAGGAUGGCCCAUAUCUCUAUGUUGGGGGUAUAGCUCAGUUGGUAGAGCGCCUGCUUUGCAAGCAGGAUGUCAGCGGUUCGAGUCCGCUUACCUCCACUGAUUACCACCUCUUCCAUAAUUUGAUUAAGGAAAUGUUUUGAGUUGUGAUCAAAUUCUGAACGAUUCUAGCUUCCUAAUGAAAUCAUUAAGAUGCUGGACUCAUUGAAUUAAUUUCAUUGUUUUCAGAGAACCUUGACAACUGCAUAGAUUAUUUUUAAAGACAAUAAGCAUCUUUAAUGAUGCAGAUUUAUUAUUUGUGCGAAUGCAUUAAAUAACAAUUCUAUUAAGCUGAUGCUUCAAUUAUUGAAGUUAUU
rnacentral:tRNA from 1 species